rnacentral:lncRNA from 1 species
GAGAAGCAGAGGCCUUUGCUAGUUUGCUUUGCCUGGGUUAGAGUUCCGGGCUCGAGUCAGGACUGAGGAAGAGAAGCAGCACAAGUGUCCGUAGGUCCCGCCGUCCCUCCUCUCUCUCUGUCUCUCUCCCCUUCUCUUCGUCACUGCUCGCUUGCUGUGUGCUCCCACCGUCUUCGGCCACUCUCCAGUUCAAGACUAAGCGCUGCCUCUUUCUCUCACUCUCUCUCCGCGUAGGUGCAGUCAGUUUCUAUCAUUCUCGUUCCCUUUCAUGCCUUUUCUUUUUGUUUCUUUGCCUCAAUUCCUCAGACUUGUGGUGUUUGCUUGCAGGUGUGAGCUAGAGAUGCGUGAGAUCAACCCCAAGAGAUGGUGGGGCCCGGCAGAGAUAGACUGGGGUAUAGCAUUGUGUUAGUUCCGAUUAAAUUUUGCCGCUAAGGUAUUAUUAUUAUUCAAUAUUACUAUUCGUAACUUACUCAUUACUCUUCAUAAUCUUAUUUUU